rnacentral:rRNA from 1 species
UACGGGGGGGGCAAGCGUUGUUCGGAAUUACUGGGCGUAAAGGGCUCGUAGGCGGCCAACUAAGUCAGACGUGAAAUCCCCAGGCUCAACCUGGGAACUGCGUCUGAUACUGGAUGGCUUGAAUCCGGGAGAGGGAUGCAGAAUUCCAGGUGUAGCGGUGAAAUUCGUAGAUAUCGGGAGGAACACCAGUGGCGAAGGCGGCGACCUGGGCCAAUAUUGACGCUGAGGUGCGAAAGCGUGGGGAGCAAACAGG